GACAGAGGCCUCAAGCGUUAGGCGGAAUCACUGGGCUUAAAGCGUGUGUAGGCGGCUCGUUAAGUGUCUUGUGAAAUCCCACGGCUCACCCGUGGAACUGCUGGGCAUACUGGCGAUCUUGGGCCAACUAGGGGCAGCCGGAACAAGCGGUGGAGCGGUGAAAUGCGUAGAUAUCGCUUGGAACGCCGAAGGUGAAAACAGGCUGCUGGGGUUGUGCCGACGCUGAGACACGAAAGCCAGGGGAGCAAACGGG
rnacentral:rRNA from 1 species